AUAUCAAUAAGCGGAGGAAAAGAAACCAACAGGGAUUGCCUCAGUAGCGGCGAGUGAAGCGGCAAAAGCUCAGAUUUGAAAUCCAACGUCUUUCGGCGUUCGAGUUGUAAUCUGGAGAGGAUGCUCCGGCGAGACCGACCGCCCAAGUUCCUUGGAACAGGACGCCUUAGAGGGUGAGAGCCCCGUACCCGGCGGUCCGGUCGAGCCAUGUGGUGCUCCCUCGACGAGUCGAGUUGUUUGGGAAUGCAGCUCAAACUGGGUGGUAAAUUCCAUCUAAAGCUAAAUAUCGGCGGGAGACCGAUAGCGCACAAGUAGAGUGAUCGAAAGAUGAAAAGCACUUUGAAAAGAGAGUUAAAAAGUAC
rnacentral:rRNA from 1 species